UACGUAGGAGGCGAGCGUUGUCCGGAUUUACUGGGCGUAAAGCGCGCGCAGGCGGCACUGUAAGUAAGGUGUGAAAUCUCCCUGCUCAACGGGGAGGGUGCAUUUUAGACUGCAGAGCUAGAGGACGGUAGAGGGGGGUGGAAUUGCUGGUGUAGCGGUGAAAUGCGUAGAGAUCAGCAGGAACACCCGUGGCGAAGGCGGCCCCCUGGGCCUGUACUGACGCUCAUGCACGAAAGCGUGGGGAGCAAACAGG
rnacentral:rRNA from 1 species